rnacentral:lncRNA from 1 species
AUGUUUAAUGAAGCAAAACAAGUGAUCCUGUUUGACGUUCAAUUCCAGUCAUUCCUCGUCAGUGGUAGGAAAAAGACUCAAGCGGAAGAGGCAGAGGAUCUACUAAAACAAUUCUCAGCUGAAGCACAGUUGGUGAAACAGUUCAAUGAGACCAGUAUCGAUGUUGACAAACAAAUUGAGGAGCGCCUUAGGAGACUCAAAGCUGACACCGCCAGUUUGACAGCUCAGACCAAUCCCAUUUCAGCAAAGGUCCUUUCACAAAAUUUUGCUGAACAGUGCAGUGAUGACUCUGAUGAGGAUGAUAUUAAAGCUGAUGCUAUAAUCAGGAAAAUUUUAGCAGAAGAGGAACUGGCUCGGCGUGAAAUCCAUGAAGAAUUAGGGAUCGAUGAUAAACUAGAUCAGCUUGAUGAUCCAGAUGACCUUGAUGAUUUUGAGGAGUUCAGGUGAACCCAAGGUAUACUAAUCUCCAUGUCUAACACUCAUUAAUUUAAUUACUAAGAAGUCUAAAGAAAGAAUGUUUUUAAAAAUCAUCUGAGUACAGUCUCAAAAGUAAUUUAAAAUCGACAUAAAUAUUUGUUUCUUCAGUUUUAUUCAAGAUAUAAGGUUCCUACUGCUCACAAGGGAUGAGAUGGGGAGGCUCUCUUUCAAUUAAUUUAGGAACACUUCUCAUGCUUCACGAUUUUCCUCGGAUAAAUUACUGGAUUUUUUUUUAGCCAAUGUCAACAGUAGUUUGCUAAUGGCAUCACUUGUUGCCUAUUCUAGCCACUUUGCAUUUCCCAACGAAUAAAUGAGUUUAAAUUGACCUCGGUCAGUAGACCUCUAUCGCUGUGUCUUCAGUCUAAUAACUCAAGAAAAGUCAUCUUUAGUGGCAGGAAGCAAGUACAUAUAGACGUUUUCACUAAUGUUUUUAAUCCCCUCUCCUACUCAUCCUUCAAAUUCAAAUGUUGUUUCAAGACUUAGGCUAAAGAAGCAUUAGCCAAUAUAGAUACUAGCCAGUGCAUGUCGAUAAAGUGUUGUUAUACUGACAUCAUAGAAUAAUAGCUAUUAUUCUACGCUGACAUUGGAUAGCUACUUUGACCAGUUUUGACACUGAUCUGCCAAUGUCAACAUCAGCUGUAACAGAUUUAUCUACAACGCAAGUUCGGAACAAAUGUAGAGGGCUGAUAGUUGAAAUUGAUAGACAUAACUAUAGACAAAAAAGACGAAGGGAAAAUGGAGCCAUCCUAUUAAUGGAGAUGUUGCAUCUGUGAGGAAUUUGCGAUUUGACUAUUGAAUCUUACGUAUAAGUUCGCGAGAAACACGAUGAUGCCACUGGUUUUCUCUGAAAUCAACUCCCAAGCUCAAAAAAAGCUCUUAAGUUGAGGCCAAAAUGGAGGGGAUAUCCCACGCUAUCCUGAGAGUCCACGUCCACGUCUACAUCAAGACAAACUCUCCAUGCAAAGAUAGGGAGCAAAUACAUUGACAGGGCUGCCACUUCAUUUGGGGACUCUAAAACUGAAAGCACGGCAACCCUGCUAAUGUAUUUGCUCCAUAUCUUUACAUGGAGAGUUUGUCUGAUGUAAAGGUGGACUCUCAGGGUAGGGUGGGAUAUCCCUCCAUUUUGGCCUCAACUUGAGAGCUUUUUUUGAGCUUGGGAGUUGAUUUCAGAGAAAACCAGUGGCACCAUCGUGUUUUUCGCGAACUUUUACGUAUGAAUCAAUAGUCAAAUCGCAAAUUCCUCACACAUGUAAUGAAACGGUUAAUUUUUUAGAUUAAGGGGUAAUAUGAUAGAAUAGACCAACUAUAGGAUUUCUAGUGGAUUGCCAUUAGUUACUCUAUUAAUCAUUUCUUUUGUUCAUUGCAACCGUUUACCUCCACCAAUACGUUCCCUGUGUUUUCUCUUUGUCCUCUUCCACCAUUGGUUUGUCUAUCAAAGUCAAUAAUGAACUUGCAGAUUUGGCAAGGUAUUAAAUGUACCGAGACAGGUACAGGGAGGCAUGAUAAAUGGAACAAGCCUGAUCAUAAAUAAAUAGAGUGUACAUAUGAAACGCUGAUUUUUUACAUUAACUUACACCUAGUGAAAUAAAUAAAGUAAUUAAUUAUAGUUGAGGAGUCAAAAUUACAUUGUCAGUUAGACUGACAAUAACCUAUCGCAAAAAUACAGGGCGAUGAUGAGGUUGAUCCUCCACCAAUCCCUUCAAUUUGAAUUUUUUCACACAGCUUCAUUUGAAAUAAAGAUCAUAGAUUCUUUAAAAUAAAAAUGAGAAAUGUACGUAUUCUAAGGUAAAAAUACAAUUCAGCCUGAAUUUAAACCUCUUUUUUCCUUCUUGCAGGUACCCUGUUCACUUUUUCUUCUUGGUAGCUGCAUUGCGACUGCUCUCCUUUGGCAGAAGCCAGCUGUUG